UUUGGUCUUUGGAGCGGUGUGGAACCACCUCUUCCCAUUCCGAACAGAGAAGUGAAACGCGCCAGCGCCUACAAUACUUUAGUGUUACACACUAGGGGAAGAUAGGUCAAGGCCAAGG
rnacentral:rRNA from 1 species